GACGAACGCUGGCGGCGUGCUUAACACAUGCAAGUCGAACGGAAAGGCCCUGCUUUUGUGGGGUGCUCGAGUGGCGAACGGGUGAGUAACACGUGAGUAACCUGCCCUUGACUUUGGGAUAACUUCAGGAAACUGGGGCUAAUACCGGAUAGGAGCUCCUGCUGCAUGGUGGGGGUUGGAAAGUUUCGGCGGUUGGGGAUGGACUCGCGGCUUAUCAGCUUGCUGGUGGGGUAGUGGCUUACCAAGGCUUUGACGGGUAGCCGGCCUGAGAGGGUGACCGGCCACAUUGGGACUGAGAUACGGCCCAGACUCCUACGGGAGGCAGCAGUGGGGAAUAUUGAACAAUGGGCGGAAGCCUGAUGCAGCAACGCCGCGUGCGGGAUGACGGCCUUCGGGUUGUAAACCGCUUUCGCCUGUGACGAAGCGUGAGUGACGGUAAUGGGUAAAGAAGCACCGGCUAACUACGUG
rnacentral:rRNA from 1 species